rnacentral:lncRNA from 1 species
AGACUGGUUCCAUCCUUGGACACCAGAGGCUCUGCGGUCCGUCAGCCACAGAUUCAUUCAAGAAAUUGAUGGAAUUGAGCCUGCUGUCCAGGAAUCCAUCAGUCUUUUCAUGGCCUACGUUCACACCAGUGUCAAACACGCGAGUGAAAAAUACCAACGCAAUGAGAGAGGUACAAUUACACCACCCCCAAGAGCUUUCUCCAGCAAAUCAGCCUGUACAGGAACCUGCUGCAGAGGAGCCGUGCCCAGCUCCAGGACAAGAUGGGACGCUUGGACUGUGGUCUCCAAAAACUACAGACUACUGCAGCUCAGGUUGAAGAUCUGAAAGCCAAACUGGCAUCUCAGGAGGAAGAGUUGUUCAUCAAAAACCAGAAUAUCGAAGCUCUCAUUGCACAGAUUGGUCACCAAACAGAGAAAGUUAGCUGCAAAAGAGAAGCUGCAGAUACAGAGGCGCAGAAGGUGAG